rnacentral:lncRNA from 1 species
GUGAUUCGACUCUCCAUUUCCUCUGCAGUGUACUUCAAAUACCGAUCUGUACGCUUGGCCAACUCCGGCAAACUCUGGUACCUUCCUAUGAACUUUUGAUAUGCUGGCAAAAGGAUUUUGGCAACUGAGAUUCUUGUUUCCUCUCUCAGCUGAUUCUCAAAUAUCACCCAUGUGGAUUGGGUUUGGCAGAUUUCUUCGAACUGCAUAUUGAAUGAUUGAAGCUUCUCCUUCAUCGCCGAAGGAGCUAAAGUGCCACUGUCCAUUUUCAAUGCUCCCACCACCUUGCUCCAUGAGCUUUUCAGGUAGUUUCCGAGGUAUUGUCGGUUCUUAACCGAGUGUUUUCGAAUCCAAUCGUCUCCUAAAACGGAUCCUAGUUCACUGUCUUUCACUUUCUGAACAAUGUAUCUCCCAUUGUUCAUCAGAAACACAGAGCUUAAGGAAAGAUCCUUGUAUAUUUUCGACUUUGCUUCUAAAUUGCUCUCUAAAAGCUCCAUAAUCCAGUCCAUUUGAACAGAUAAGGAAGACGAUGCUGCUGCUCUGUCGUCGAACUUGGUGUAAUCCUUAGAAGGAAGGGCAGGUUCGUCAAAAACUUGCUCCAAAGUCUGCCGGGAUUUGC